ensembl:lncRNA
GUCCACCUCACCCACCAAAGCGAUUCCAAUGUUAAGAAGUCGGUCUCAGCUUAUCACAUUCUUGUUUUAAUAUUUGUUUUGGUUUUGUUUAGCUGAGGGGAUGUGGAGGUGCACUCUGCAUUUGCACUCUGAUCCCGGUAAUCAUCAAGAGAACAAGCCCCAAUGAGAUAUGGAGAGAAGACGAAAUCCCUGAAGUCAAGUGAAUUUCUAUCAGUGUUCGUCACACAGAAAGGUUCUAUCUGGAUCCUGGUCCUGGAUCCGGACAUGGCCCUGCUGACACCUGCUGCUGCUAUCAUUAUUAUUAGUCACAUUACUAUUACGGUCAUCAUAAACCACCGUUACUUACUUUGUUUCUUUCCUGAACUCUUUGUGUGCUUUCGGUUAUAUC